rnacentral:rRNA from 1 species
ACCCUGGUAGUCCAUGCCGUAAACGAUGAGUAUUCGCUUUUGGUCUUUACAAAAUAUCGAUCAGAGGCCAAGCUAACGCGUUAAAUACUCCGCCUGGGGAGUACGGUCGCAAGACUGAAACUCAAAGGAAUUGACGGGGGCUUAUACAAGUGGUGGAGCAUGUGGUUUAAUUCGAUACAACGCGCAAAACCUUACCAACAGGUGCUGCAUGGCUGUCGUCAGCUCGUGUCGUGACGUCAAGUCCUCAUGGCCCUUAUGAGUUGGGCUACACACGUGCUACAAUGGCAAUCACAAUGGGAAGCAAUGCCGUGAGGCGGAGCGAAUCCUCAAAGAUUGUCUCAGUUCGGAUUGUUCUCUGCAACUCGGGAACAUGAAGUUGGAAUCACUAGUAAUCGCGGAUCAGCAUGCCGCGGUGAAUAUGUACUUAGGCCUUGUACAUACCGCCUGUCACACCCUGGGAAUGGAUUUUGCCCGAAGC